rnacentral:lncRNA from 1 species
GGUCUAUUGCAAUGACUAGUUUUCCUUGUUCUUUGGUUCCUAAAGCCAAUUAUUCUCUUUAACACCUUUGGAGAUGCUAAGUGAGGCUAAUGAGAGCGGAUUUCUUGUGUGUUUAUUAGUCAUCACCAUCACCUCACAUAUGUAGAUAUAUUUUUAAUACUUUCAGAGUGUCAAUAAAUUAUGUUUGAGCCUCAAAAGAAUAUCAUAAAGCAGCUAUCACCUCCUAGGAAAUACAAGCUUCACUGGCAGAAGAGUGGUGAAAGAUGUGGUUUCAGACCAUUAGAGUUUCAAAUCCUUCUCCUGUCACCAGCUGUGUGGCCCUGAGUAAGUUACUUCACCCCUGAGUGCUUCAGUGCCUCAUCCGUAAUAUGAAGCAAUAAAAGAAGCUGUCUUGUGUACUUGUUUUUAGAAUGAAGAUAAUCCAUGCAAAAUGUUUAUCAAGUCAUGUGGCAUAGUCUCUCCAAUACUAUUAGCUAGACUAUUUAUAAAUUAGGUAUUGAUAGCCCCCAAUAACUAACACUUAAUGAAUGCCUACUAUGUACCAAGUACUAUAUUCUAAGAACCUCACAAGCAGUAACUCAGUUUUCACAGUGACUGUUGGAGGUGAGAACGACGAUUACUAUGUCUGUUUUGCAAAUGAGGAAAUUGAGACACGCAGACAAAGUCACUUGCCCCAAGUCUCGCAGGUGGGAGAUUGUAGAGCCAGGGCUGGAACUCAGAAGGUCGGGUCCUUGGCUCGCUCUGUUUCCCAGAACAGGCUGUGUGCUAGGCCUGCGGGGGCGACAGCAGUGAGAACCCCAUGGUUCCUGCCUUCCUGAAAGCCAAUGCAAUCUCCCUAAAGGAGAGAGGAGCUCUCUGCAAAAUGGUGGGACGAAAGAGAGAGCUCUGAACUCUUCCUAGGAGCUUUGGAAAGGGUCGGUUAUCCUAAUCCUCCUGUUGUUUAGAUCUGCUUGCUCCCUUCUCUGCGGGCCACACACAUCCCUAAGCUGAGAAUCACCGGUUACCUAACCUCUGGUCCCUCCCACAGCACUUGCUACCCUAUCUCAAAAAGCCACCCGACUCAGAUUCCAGGUCCCUGACCACCUCUAUCACGCGUCCUGUCACCUUCAUGAUACUCUUUCCAACAUUCUACAUUUCCUUUCCGUGGGUUGUUAGGUGAAUACACGCUUGGCCCUCAGUGAGGACUCCUUGUUCGACAUGGCACACACUACAAAGAUGAUGAUUCAACACACAUUUCUGAGCGUAUCCAGUCUAUACGCUGCAGGGCUAGAAAUGAAUUCAUGCUUCUUUGAUGCCACAGUGCCAUCUCUCCUGAGGGUGGGGCCUGUAUUUCUUCGGCAUCCAAUUUCUCACAAGUAUAUGAUUUCUACUUUUGCAAAACAGGACGUUGUUUAACCAAGUUCUUAUGGGAGGAAGCACAGCCCAGUGAGCAGAACAAUGAUUUGAAAGUCCUGGGUUCUAUUUUCAGCUCCACUGUUGACUAGCUGUGCAUUCAGCCCUUGGAAGGUCAAAGCAGAAGGGCCUUGCACCGCUGACUUUCUCUGCAUGUACAGCUCUAGAUGGAAAACAAAACAGGCAUCUGGCUCUCAGCCUUGAGAAGCUGUGGUCUUUGGAGAAUAGAUGUGUAGUCACACUUUGUUUUCUUUUUAAAGCAAAAGAACAGAACAAACUCUCUUGGGGUGGGGGAGAGAGAGGGCGGCUGCAAAACGAGCUGGCAGAGAACCUAAGAGAGAAACCCAAUCACCUUUUAAACAAUCCAGGGGUUAAGGGACUGUUCGAACCAUUUCGAUCAAAGAAGCCUCUCCGGAGUAAGUUGGAGUUGCCUGCGUUCUAACAUGGAAGAGGCUAAGGUUUGAAAGACUUCUCCAAAUUUGAACAAUGCCAGGUGUCCAGAACUCUUCCUAUAGGGCAGACAGGAGAUGCUAGUGAGUGAGGCUUGUGGGCAAAGGUGGAAGCACCGGUCCCCUCUAAAGCCAUCUGCUGCUACCCAGCACCAGCUGCUUGUCAUGGGGAGAAGCCACUGUUGCCUACACAGCUGAGCUUUCAAGAAAAACUAAACAAUUAAAAUUUUGUUCUUAGAACUUCACUUUAAAUGACGGAGCCUAAUCAACAUUUAGAGUCACUGAGCAGGCAAACUGAACUUAGCAAAGCCUAGGCGAUGCACUCUCUAUCGCUCCUAUCUAAAGGUGGGAUGGAGUUCCUUAAGGAUUUUAAUUAUGUGCUCUGCUAUGAAUGGGUAGAAAUUACACACCAGACAAAAGCUGUUAGCAGUGGCACUCAAACUUGGCUGCACGUGGGAAUACCAUUAAAGACAAUGAUACCUGGCUCCCAACACAAAGAUUCUGAUUUAAUUAGAGUGGGCUGCUGUCUGAGUACUGGAAUUUCCAAAUACUCCCCAAGUGACUCUAAUAGGCAAUCUUGAUUGAGAAGCACUGUUAUAGGGUAUUAUAAAAAAGUAAAAGAGUUUCAGAAAUUUGUGAGUUUUUAACUUGAUAAAAUGCACAGCUAAUCCCUAGCUGACAUGGGUCAGGGAACUGAUAUUCAAUCUGAACUGCUUUUUCUUUUUUUAACUGGGACUCUUAGCUCUAGCAUCAUUGCUGGUGGCCUUAAUGUUUUUGAGCUCAUUUGGAAACAGUGCUGCCAACAGGGGAUUUCUGGGCAAAUAAGGGUAUUGUUAUAAAGGUCAAACACAACAAAAACCAAAGGACAAGUGCAAGCCUAAGCACAGAUAAGUAUUUAUAGGGGAAAUUAAUUCGGUGUAGGAUGGCCGUGAACGAGGGGCUAGAGCAAAGUGAGCCUUUUACAAGUGAAAUUUAAUCUGUGUCUACAUUCUAAUGGCUGUAAGACUCACCCUAUGAAGCUAAGAAUUGGUACAUAAAAUUAAUAUUUUCCAUUUUUUUUCUUCCCUAUGCAUUUUUGUGGGCCUUAUGCAUUAUAAAAAAACAUGACAGAGCCUCGGGGCGAUACCUCUGGCUGGUCCUCGUUUCAGCUUUGGUUUCUCUUGCUGUAUUUCUCAUAAGAGAUAUUGGUGUGGGUUGAAUAUAUUAAGGCAUGUGUAAUGCGCAGUUAAAUGGGGGCAUUUCCUCUUCUGUACAGGAUUCAGAGGAGGCCCCAUAUAAUUGGUGCCAAGGAGCCCCACAUUCUAAAGCGAGGUGGCAGCUGAAGGGACCUGGUAAGAGGUUAUGGGGGUGGUUCCACCCACGUAAACACUGACAACCUCCAAUCUAUCAAGAAUGACUUUAAAGAAGUUGGUACUGGGGAUUUCUUUGCAGGGUGUUAUCAACUUAGUAAGCGUCCCCAUCCUCAACCUCCACCCUGGACAGAAGCGUUACUUCUUUAACACAAACCAAAAAAGAGACACAUCAGUGGAACCACUGGAGAGCUUACGUCAGGUCUUCUGGACUUCAAAACACACAGGGACUGAUGUCUGACUCAUACUUGGAAACAUGGGACUGUGGCCCAAAUUACUCUUUCCUGGUAUGUAAAACCGAGUUAUAUUGGGAAUAAGUAGCACUUCCAGAAAUGGGGGGGGGGGCAAAUAAGGAUCUGCCCAAGAAAGGCGGACUAGAUUAUCUUGGGAGAGACUGCCUAGAAUGGUGCCAUGACUUCAUCAGUGAGGAGGUACCACUAGAAACCAAGAGAAUGAAGAGCCAUACGUGGCUGGCCUGAGAGGCACUGCCCGAGUCAGCAGAACAGUUAUUGAAAAGGUGUCCUGUAUGUAGGCAAAGUGAGGUAUCUUAAAAAAACAAACAAAACAAAACAAAACAAAAAACUCAUCACAAUGCUCCAGGAGAGAAAAGUCAACUGGGAUGUCCACGCACUCAGAGGAUCGCAGUGACAGCUCACCGUAUCACCCGUUGAGAUUACUCCGCCUUUCCACCUUCGCCUUGCUUGCCCCCCAUCUCUGAAGAGGCCAGAAAUCACAGCCAGAAACAGGGGAGAAGCUACAGAGGGGGGGAGUAAGGAAACCCAUCUGGCCCCACCUCCUAGUCCCAAAUUUCCGGCCUGACUGAUCACAGCUGUGAAGGGAGGCAGAGCUAAAAGUGACAUGGAUUGGACUUUGCACAGCGCUAGAUGUUUUCCUGCUUUGAGAAAAAGAUUUGUUUUUUAGGUAUUACCUGUUGGUAAUAAGAACAGCCAAUGGAGAACUGCCCAGAGUUGUAAUGGUUAGUGGAACCUGGGAGUUAGGGCUGAAUAGUCAAAAUAGUAGGUUUGAAGGGACUGGGGCAAAAUUAAGAUUGCUUUUUAUGAGUCACCUACCCAGUCCAUCUCAUGCAAUAAACAAGUUUAACAUGAACACUUAAGAUAUUUUUGUGGUGCAGAUUCAACUUAACAAGGGUGAGGUGUGAUAACAUCUUUGCAAAUUUUCAUCUUUACGAUCAGCUUUGCUACCUCAAAGAUAUAUUGGGUUAUGACAGCAUUUCUGCGGAAUGCUAACAGGCAUCCCCCCAAAAAGAGUGCCAUGGUCAAAGAUAUUGGCAAAAAGCUAGUUUACUCAAAAAAUAAAUAGGCUCGAGGAAUUCCCGCCAUGGCUUAGCAGAAACAAAUCCAACUAGGAACCACGAGGUUGUGGGUUCAAUUCCUGGCCUUGCUCAGUGGGUUAAGGAUCCAGUGUUGCUGUGAGCUGUGGUGUAGGCUUGCAGACAUGGCUCGGAUCUGGUGUUGCUGUGGCUGUGGUGUAAGCCAGGGCUACAGCUCUGAUUUGACUCCUAGCCUGGGAACCUCCAUAUGCCAUGGGUGUGACCCUAAAAAAAAAAUAGGUUUGAUAACUAUAGGUAUUCUAAGAGUCUUUAAUAUGCAUUGUGAGUCUAUAAAAGGGGGUGUUGGAUAUAGCUGUUUCAUACUCACUUAUCCAUUGACUGUUUUUACUCUCCAAGCAUCAGGAUUUCAUUAAAGUUUCCUGAAGACCUCCAAUGUGUAGGCCUGAGGGACUGGAUUAACUCAGUACAUCAGAUACAUCCCUUCCCUGAAAGACCUUCUAUUCUAAUGGGUUGCUUAGUGCAGUCUCUUGUUGUGUAGAAUUCUCUUAGAAGAGAUUUGCUCUAUGCCAUGUUUCUAGAUUUCUGCCACUGAAAAGCUAUUUGUUAACACAUACAAAUCGCCUGAGAAAGCAGUUGCCUUGUAAACAAGAGAGAUGUGCUUUUAUAAAACAUUCAGUCACGACUGAGCAGGACUCAAAGGUUUCGGUCUCCUUUUCUCUUCUCUUCUUGGUCCGUUUUGGCUGUGGAUGGAAACCCCUGAUAAAGCCGCACAGCCAUCCACCUCCCUUCUCUUCCUCUCCCCUGGGCCUGACUCCUCCCUCUGUCUCAGACGUCACAGCCCCACACGUCUCUUUCUCUGCUCACUCAGAAGAGAUCCGACACCAGCACUUUGUCUGGACUGCCUGUGAGCCGUUUCCACCAAGGUUUUAGUUUUAUGCUGGUGAAGAUUCCUGGACAGUUUCUGGCAAUGAGUUUUCUUCUUUUUCACCAGCAUAACACACAUGAACACACAGGCAUGCAUUCACACACUCACUCACACACACACACACACACACCCCUCCCUUCUCUUAAGUAGGGCAAAAUGUUAAGUGACAUGAAUUCCUGUAACUCUGGACAGUUUCCGGCAACGAACUUUCUUCUUUUUCAGCAGCAUAACCAACAUGCACACACAGGCAUGUACACACACAAAUACACAGAGAGACCUCCUCUUAAAGUAGGGCAAAAUCCAAGGUUCUGUUGUCCUUGCAGGUGAAUUAAGCGGUCUGUGUUGAGCGACAUGAAUUCCUUUACCGCGUGGCGUUCCAAAGGCGAUUCUCACCCGGGUGUUGCCUGUGCUGUGGCUCUCCUCUAUGCCCAAGAAACAGGUCUGCAUCCAGGUAAUGAUGGCAUCUGAAUCUUGACAAAUGGUGUGAAGGGAAACAUGGAGGAUGCAAGGAAGAAAAUUAUCUCUGGAUCUUGGGUAACGCUUAACGAUGCCCAGCUUUCUGCUGGAGAGCUGGAACUCUCGUGGUACCUGAGUACUUGUGCACAUAUCAGGGGUCAAAAGAGAUGGCCCAGUGGGCCCAGACGUGUAAGUAACUUUCUCUUCCCUUUUGGUCACCACAGGCUUGGUGGGAAUUUCCACUACAGAAAGAGAAUCAAAUACCCCAGCCACUAUGCCAUGAAAUGCAACCUCUGGCUUCGCAACCUCUGUGAGUUGCUGAAUUCUUCCUUCCAAGUUGCUCGCCAACUACCAGACUCUCUGCGCAGUGAGUAUGGGUCCUGGACCUGAAGAUCUCAUUCAUGAAUCCUUGUGGGUGAGAUACCAAGACACAUGCUGGGAUCAGUUUGUUGCUCUAAAAGCAAGCAUGAAAAUACUCAGUGAUAUUGGUUAGAAUCCUCAGAGAGGUCCAAGCUUAAUAAUGGGCUAAAUUAGCCCUAAAUUAAAGGCUGCUCUGGACCCAACCUAAUGAAGCUGACAGGAUAGAAUCCAAUGGCAUCCAAAUAACUUAGUCAUGUGCCAGAAAAAAAAAAAAAAAAAAAAAG